UUCUUUAAUUCCUUCAGGUACGUUUAAAUUGGCACUUCGUUCACCUCUAGCACCAACCAUAUUAACUAUCCUUGCUGAACACAAUCAUUGGAUGCUUACUCUGCAACAUGACCCAGCAAGAAAAGCCAACUUCUUUGAAAUAAGCCACUUUUGAAACACUUGGUUAUGUCUGUGAGGAGAUCUCUUCACAAGACCUCAAACAAGAUCAGGUUAUAACAUCCGUAUCAAACUGGUUUGUGGGUAUAUUCGACUUCUUUGUGGAUUUUAUUACUAAAGAGAAGGUCUCAAGUCCAACUGGUUAGACCACAAGUAA